GACGAACGCUGGCGGCGUGCUUAACACAUGCGAGUCGAACGGAAAGGCCUGCUUUCCCUUGUGGAUUGCGGGUACUCGAGUGGCGAACGGGUGAGUAACACGUGAGUGAUCUGCCCCCAACUUGGGUAUAAGCCUGGGAAACUGGGUCUAAUUCCCGAUAGGACUGCAGGGUGGUGCCUGUGGUGGAAAACGAUUUUCUAGUGGUUGGGGAUGAGCUCGCGGCCUAUCAGCUUGUUGGUGGGGUAAUGGCCUACCAAGGCGGCGACGGGUAGCCGGCCUGGGAGGGUGGACGGCCACAUUGGGACGGAGAUACGGCCCAGACUCCUACGGGAGGCAGCAGUGGGGAAUAUGGAACAAUGGGCGGAAGCCUGAUGCAGCGACGCCGCGUGGGGGAUGACGGCCUUCGGGUUGUAAACUCCUUUCGACCGCGAGGAAGCCACCUGGUUGGAAGGGUGGUGACGGUAGUGGUAGAAGAAGCACCGGCUAACUACGUG
rnacentral:rRNA from 1 species